UACGAAGGGGGCUAGCGUUGUUCGGAAUCACUGGGCGUAAAGCGUACGUAGGCGGAUUGUUAAGUCAGGGGUGAAAUCCCGAGGCUCAACCUCGGAACUGCCUUUGAUACUGGCUGUCUUGAGUCCGGGAGAGGUGAGUGGAACUCCUAGUGUAGAGGUGAAAUUCGUAGAUAUUAGGAAGAACACCAGUGGCGAAGGCGGCUCACUGGCCCGGAACUGACGCUGAUGUACGAAAGCGUGGGGAGCGAACAGG
rnacentral:rRNA from 1 species